AUACGGAAGGUCCGGGCGUUAUCCGGCUUUAUUGGGUUUAAAGGGAGCGCAGGCGGAGAUGCAAGCGUGACGUCAAAUUUCGGGGCUCAACCCCGUCUCGCGUCGCGAACUGCGUCCCUUGGUUGCGGGAAGGGGAGGCGGAACUCGUGGUGUAGCGGGGAAAUGCAUAGAUAUCACGAAGAACUCCGAUCGCGAAGGCAGCCUUCCGGCCCGUCAACGACGCUCAUGCUCGAAGGUGCGGGUAUCAAACAGGAUUAGAUACCCUGGUAGUCCGCACAGUAAACGAUGGACACCCGCGGUUUGGCCUGUAUGGCUGAGCCGCCAAGCGAAAGCGUUAAGUGUCCCACCUGGGGAGUACGCCGGCAACGGUGAAACUCAAAUGAAUUGACGGGG
rnacentral:rRNA from 1 species